AAAUAAUAUGUAUGGUGUUGAAAUGCAUUUAAUAACCUGUGACAACCUGUUCCAUGUACCCUACUAGCCCUCCACUAGCUGCCCCAACGGACCGUGCCUGGACUCUACUAGCAGUGAGAAGAUGUUGUCAGAUUCAAAUCUGGGUCUAUACCAACGAGUGCGAGAAACCCAGAUUCGACUUGGUCUAGUCAUGGUGAGAUGAGACGAUUAAGAACAGAGAAGAAGAUUGGGUGACAAAGUUUCAGAAAUUGUAAAGAUGUGGUUUUUUGUGAUUUGGUUGUUACUUUUCUCUUUCGCUUCUCAUUUUCGUUUGAUUUUGAAUUGGAUUAGUAGCUGUUUUUUUUUUUAAUUUGUCUUCCUCUUGUUCAAAUUUGGUUUGGUAAUAUAUUAUGGAUCUAAGAGGAUUUGCAGCGGUGGUGACGUGAAGAAGAUCGGAGAUUAUUUCUAUCCCUCAUUCCAGUAUUGACGUAAGCAAAUCGUCAGAUGCAGCUGAAGCAUGAGCUGAAGUAAAAGGGUGUUGAAGAGUCAUUAGUUUACGGUGAGUAACUGAAUAUGAAUGAUGUUAGGAUGUCAACUCUGUUUUUACCUCGAUGAUGAGUUUGUGUAUACUUGUGAAAUCUCUAAUCAAAAUGCUGGAUUCGUUUGCUAAUGUAAAUUGUAGUUGGUGUUUGAGCAAAUUUUAACCUUCAAGUAGGAAGCUUUUUGAAAGCUUUUCCACUCUCAAGGUCCUCGCUUCUUUUAUUCACUCUUUUUACAGUGUGAUUUUGUAGUAAUAAUACUAUUCUCAUGUAGCAACUUAAAGUGAUGAAGAGUUGAUAAGCUUAUGAGUUUAUUUAUCUUUUAAUCGAUUCUUAUGAGUCCGCUUCCUAUCAAUUUGACAUGGACACUAUUGAAGUCAGUAACCUGAAUAGGCAAUUUCUAUUCCAACCUUCUCAUGUUGGGCACUCCAAGGCUAAGGUAUGCGCUUGCGUUUUCACUAAGCCCAAGGGAAUCCAGUUCAUAAGAGAAUUCAUGUGACCAUAUAGAAUCAAAGUUGUUAACCAAAGUUGUUUGAGUUUGUUAAAUCCAGUUUAGGAGGUAUAUGCGAGCGACCUGAGCUCAUUCUCCCUCGCUUCAAGGUAUAUUUCAGCUGAUUUCUCUCUGCUGGUGUCAUUAAGCAACCUAAGCUCAUUCUCCCUCGCCUUAAGUUCCUUAAGAGAUGCUUCCAUCAGCUCAGCUUCCUUUCUCCUUGUCUCGGUCUAUGUGGUUUGCUUCAGGUCAAUCUUUAACAUUCAUCUCAAAAGCAAAAGACUUCUCAUGCAUAUGGGGAAAGCAAAGCAACCUCUUUUUCCCUCGCUUCAAGCUCAGCCAUUAACCCUUGAUGUUUCUGCAUUUCUCCCAUGAUACCUCCAAUAUUUACUUUCUUUUUUUACUAGUAUGAUGUAUUCUUAUUUUUAAUUAUGAUUUUAGUUUAAUUUUGUAAUACAGU